rnacentral:rRNA from 1 species
GUUGGUAGUCUUGUCUAUCUUGCUGUCACUCGUCCGGACAUCUCUUAUCCGGUUCAUAUUCUGAGUCAGUUUGUUUCUGCUCCCACAUCGGUUCACUAUGGUCAUCUCCUUCGUGUUCUCCGAUAUCUUCGGGGCACUAUCUCUCACCGUCUAUUCUUUCCUAGCUCCAGUUCUUUACAGCUUCAGGCCUAUUCGGAUGCUACGUGGGCUAGUGAUCCUUCUGAUCGCCAUUCACUUUCUGCUUACUGUGUUUUUCUUGGUGGUUCUCUCAUUGCCUGGAAGACGAAGAAACAGAUUGCAGUUUCCCGUUCGAGUGCUGAGGCUGAGUUGCGAGCCAUGGCUCUUUUGACGGCAGAGGUGACUUGGUUACGGUGGUUACUUCAGGAUUUUGGUGUUUCUGUCACUACACCGACUCUGCUCUUAUCUGACAGUACAGGUGCUAUU